UGAUCUUAGUGAACUGUUUUGAAAUAUUGCUUUCCUUUCAUGGCUGCUAGCAAAGGAAAGCAUAAUAAUUUGGAAAAGCAAAUAGUUUUAAUGUUUCUAGUUAUAGAUGAUUGAUAUGAGGUAAUUUUGGGUGUUUCUGUGGUAAUUGUGGGUGUUGCUGCUGCGAAACAGCAAUACCAAGCAGUAAAGGUCUUCAAGAAGAACAUGCAGAGUGAAGAUAUAUAGAGCUAACUUGCUUGUCCUAAAUUAAAAUAAUGAAAGAAAGUGAAGAUGCCAUGGGGAAGAGUGGCUGGGAAGGUGCCCAACAAAAUGGGAAUGCUGGUUGACAGUGGACUGAAAAUGCACCAGCUGUGUGACCAAGAAGGCCAAUGGCAUGUGGGUCUGCAUCAGAAAUACUGUGGCCAGCAGUAUGAGGGAAGUGAUUGUCUCUUGGUAGGCAGGACUGCUGAGACACAUCUUGAACAGCGUGUUCAGGUUUGAGCCCCUCACAACAGGAAGGGUAUUGAAUUGCUGGAAUAUGUGCAGAGAAGAGGAAUAAGGCUGAUGAAGGGAUUAGAAAACAGCAAUUCUGAGGAGCAUAUGGAGGAAAUGGGAGUUGUUAAUUUCGAGGAGACUGAGGGGAGAGAUCAUUGCAAUUUACUACUGCCUGAAAGGAGGUUGCAGAGAAGAAGCUUUUGGUUUCUUUUCUCAGGUAAAAGUUAUAGGAUGUGAGGAAAUCAUCUCAAGCCAUGCCCAGGGAAGUUUAGAUCAGAUAUUCAGAAAAAUUUAUUUUUCAACAUGUUCUGGUUUGAGUCAAAACAGUGCGUUAACAGCACACAGAUGUUCUGAUUGUUGCUGAGUGAUGGGAGUGCACCUGUGGGUGCCUUUAUAGUGCAGCAGGAGUUGGGCUGGGGCCAGUACAGGUGCCUUAAUGAGGUCAGGGUUCCUCCUUAAUCUGACACCACCAAGAAGACCAUAAAGGGUGGGACUUAGCCAGGAGUGGGAUGCUGUUUGGGGACUGCUGUGUGUUGGUCAGGAGGGGCUGCUCAGGAGCAGUGGUGAAGUCCCCAUCUCUGGAGGAAUUUAAUACAUGUAUGGAAAAAGCUGUUGUAAAGCGGUGUAGAAGAUGCUGGUCUGCUUUGGGGCUGUGAGAAAUGCCAGGACAGCUUGCUGAUGACACUCUUCCUCAGGCGGAGCACAGCCUGCAUCAGGUAGCACUGGCAAGAGAGGGUGGUGAGAGAGAGUGGCUUAUGCUGGAGUGGGGUUGUUGGGACUUCUACCAUACAUCUUAACCCAUGAGGUAUUCCAACUUUCCAGUGUGGGGUCGGGGCUGUUUAUUCAGAUAAUGAGCAAGCAGCAGAUGCAUUAAAGAUGAACCGCCUCGACUCUGAAUUUCGGGCAGAAGUGGUGGGAGGAGAUGCAGCUAAUUUAACUUGGUGGAUGAUUGAUGUGGAUAUGUCACCUUCUAUUAAUAUUCUUUUGAAAUCACUGAUGCAAGCAUGUUUUUACCUCGUCUCAAAAGAAAAUAAAGACAACAGAACAAUCCUAUCGCUUUAAUUUGUUACACUCAGAGGCAGUUAAGCAAACUCUGUCGCUAUGGAGUGUCCUCCACAGGCUGCUGACAAGCAGUUCCUGGUGGUGCUCUUACCACUUUAAGAAUAUCAGGAUGCUCUAACAGAGCUAUCCACUUAUCGCUAAAAUGUCAAAAACAAAAAGCAAAAGUCACCUACAGGUAGGUCUAGAUAAAUUGCUUUAAGAUCUGCCGUUCCCUCAUUAGACAGCCAUUCAUUACCAUAGAAAGAGCUAAAUACGGGUGCUGAGGCGGGGGUAUAAAAGCCAUGUUUAAAACGAAACAGAGUUGAGAGCUUGAAUACACAGUGCUGUUAUUCAGAAGUAGCUUUCGAGCCGAGAGUUUCAACGGGAAGGUGCUGUUUGGACAGAAAUCAACAAACGUUUAGCUGAAGUGUGAAUAAUUCAAGCGUGCCUGAAGAAGCGUGCUGUCUGAAAAGAUGAAAUUCAAGACUAAAAGAAUCUUCAAACAUUUGCAUCAGCCUUAGAGGACAAUGCAAGCAGCAGGAUUUGAAACAGAUUCGCAGAUGCACUCUCUUUAGGCAGAGAGAACGCUCAUUAAAUGCAAGAUGCUUCUGUUGCUCGUGCGUUUGCUCAGAGGUAUAGCUUUGCAAGGCUGACGUAUCAGAUAAAGUCAGAGUGGUUACCACACUGUCGGUGUAGCAGCUGCAUAAUAAAUGAUGGAGAGAAUCAUGUUAGGCAUGCCCACCUAACCUAACUUGAAUCAUGCGAAAGGGGAGCUGCUGGAAUUCAAAUAGACUUUCUGGUUCCCAGCAGUCGGCAGUAAUAGAAUGCUUUCAGGAAGAUGACAGAUGCAGGGGAAAGAUGCUGUUUUGCACUAUCUUGAUUUGUUACGGCAGCCAACUUAUUGGCGUGAUGGAGUGACAAGAAAAGCAGCUGGCAUGGAAGGUAGGAUUAUCAAAGCUAUUGCAUCAUUAUGAAUGUAAUUAGAAACUGACCAUGACAAAGCAUAUGCUAGAAUGAGCUGCCGCUGAUGGCAGAGGAUUUGUUGCCGAGGUCCGGAAACUCUGAAAACAACAUUCCUUUUGCAGAAUGGAUUUUGCAGUUUCGUUUGUGCUUGUGUUACCCUUUCUUUCCUGCUCGCCUCCAAGCUUGGGGAAUCGCUUGCUUGCGAGAGUGUUGUGUUAGGAUGAGGCUGAAGAAUAAAGUCUGUUCCAAGUCUGGGAAGCCUCAGGUAGAUAGAAACAAAUGUGAAAGAGAAGACUGGCAGAGGCUCCCUCUGAUUCACUUGCAAGCUCUGAUUGAUGUAUUGGCAUAUUGAGGAAUCCCAAGGAAAUGAAGAUACAUGCACAAAUGUUCUGGUACAAUGAAAAAACAUUAUUGCAGGUCUUGGCUUUAUAGUUAGUUUUGCUGACAGGUUUUAUUCCCCAUCAGUUUUCAGCUCUUGACAUUUAUUUGGUUGUUCGGUAUUAUAUAAAGAAAAUACAUCAAUAUCUCCUGCAGGCUUUCUCAACAACUCCAGCAUCUGUUUCAGCUAUUGAACUGUAUUCACGUUUUGCCAACUUGAUGCCUACCCAGCUGGUCUAUCAUUUCUCGCUUGAUUACUGCUCUUAAUUUAUCCGUAUCAGCUUGUUUCAGAUAGGAUUUUGAAGGCUGUUAAUGAGAAAUGACAGUAGCUGCUAAAUUAUUGAAAAUUUGAGUGUUCUUAUUUUUGAAACGUCAGAAAAUCUUGGUGUGCAUUUUAUUAAACUUGUAUUCUGUAUUAUAGGGAGGUUUUUGUAUAAUCACUGUGAGUACUUUAAAGUAGACAGGUCACGAGCAUAACUUCCAACUGACUAUUUUUAGAAAGUUGGAGAAAAUGGAAAGAUACGUGCAUGUUUUUGAUAUAUGUUGCUUCCUCUUGUCUGCCUCCGCCUUGCAAUGCCCUCUGUGCCAUGGGGAGCAAAUCAUUAAAUGUAUAUUGUACAUAUUGAAAUAUAUUUUAUCGCCACUAGGGUGAAACCGCUUGGCAGUUUUGAACAGGUGAUUUGAACAGGUUUAAAACAGAUGUCAGCUCUGUUGGCUGGAUUGCCCUGGAUGUAAGAAGUAAAAGUAUUGUUUUUUAAGUGUAAGCAGGUCUUCUCUUCCCUUCCAAACUCUUUUUCAUUGCUCACAGGAUAUAACUAUGUUAAAUCAUUUGCAUUAUUGUGCUAUACAGAAUGACUUUUUUCAACAUAAGCUCUAUUCUUCACCAGUUAUAUCACUUUCUCCAAGAUUUUUUUUUUUUCCCCCCACUAAGUGUGUCAUCAUACUGGAUAUUCACUUUUCUGAUUUCAUUUUAAAUGACUUUGCUGGCUGUACACUAUGUAAUCUUGUCAAAAGAGGAUCAGGCUAUUGAACACUAAAUGUUGCUGAGUAAAGCUGUAACAGUUUCAGAAAGAUAGAUGUUUCUAGAUACACAGCAGUGAACCAGCCCUGAGGAAGUUUGAAGGUAAAGAUCGGUAAAACUGAUAUACUGUUAGGUAGUAGGAAUGUUUCCCUGCUUUGAUCACCUCUGGGAAGCAUUUUAAAUUAUUUUAGAACUGCUGGGAGGAGAGAUGUACUUA